GGGUGAGCUGCUUGUGUCACACCACUUAUUAAAUGAGACCUCCAGGAACUCAGUCAGUGUAGCAUGAGCUCACCUUUAAUGUCAGGCGAUGUUCUGAUGUUAAAUCUCCAGAAUUUUGCACAAGGAGGAGCAUCCACUGCUGGGGCAGGACAGCUCUCACCCCCCUGCUCUGAGGGCAUCCUGAGAGCUGCCAAAAUCCACCUGGAUGGACAAAGGAUGCUGCACAGCUCUUAAACCCUGCUGGGGAAAACCCAGGAGCAGCAAAUUCCAGAGGGAUUUGUGUGGGAGGAAAUCCUGUGGCCCUGUUUGCCCUGCACAGCCAAAGGUGAGCUCGGGAUC